UUCUCUUCAAGAAUGCCAAAGUCCACAGUGCAUGGAGCCGGUGGAGAAGAUGAGCGAAGGUGAAGAGGAGGAGAAUGAAGAGAAGGAGAACAGAUAGAGGAGAGAUGUUGCAUAGUGGGCCCUAAGAAGACUGAGACUCAAGCUAAUGUGCAUCUGAAUCCCCUGAGGAUCCCGUUAAAUGCAGACUCUGAUUCAGUAGGUCUGAAGUGGAGUCUGAAAUUCUGCAUUUCUAACAAGUUCCCAGGUAAUGCCAAGGCUGCAGGUCUAUGGAUCUCACUUGAGAAGCCAGGCCCUAGCGUGGUUUGCACCUUUGUAGAAAGAGUAUGGAGGCACUCUCCCUCACUGCUGCUGUCCUUACUUUCUGGCUCUCUCUUAGACCUGUCACCUCCUCGAUCACUAACAAUGCUUCUUUGUGCUUCAUGCCGAGAAUGAGGAAGUUUUUACACAGCUUCCUUCAAAACUGCACGGGAGUCAUCUUCGCUCCUAAAGUUCCUCCCACAGCUUCUCCAUCCC